rnacentral:rRNA from 1 species
UACGGAGGAUGCGAGCGUUAUCCGGAUUUAUUGGGUUUAAAGGGUGCGUAGGCUGGUAAUUAAGUCAGUGGUGAAAUACUCCGGCUCAACCGGGGGGCUGCCGUUGAUACUGUAUGGCUUGAGUACGUUCCGUGUACAUGGAAUUUAUGGUGUAGCGGUGAAAUGCGUAGAGAUAUGGAGGAACACCAAUGGCGAAGGCAGGUCUCUGGGCAGUUACUGACGCUGAGGAGCGAAAGCAUGGGUAGCGAACAGGAUUAGAUACCCU